UAAAAAAAAGUGAAUAAAGUAUACGCAGAACCAAGAAUGAAAUCUAAGAACUUCCGAAAAUUCUAUUCAAACUGUUUUGGCAGGCAUAUCUUUCAUAGGCAGUUAAGUCUAAAUUUAGCAAACGAGUGAUUCUUUAAUAGGCAGAUAAUGAAAAUUUCGUGGAGUUCUAAGUUCUGAGGAUUCUUCUAUGAUUGAUGGUAACAUUGGGUGCAAAUAGAUGAAAUUUUUUCUUUAAACUGGUGCCGUCGUGUGGAAGCGAGCAGAUUGUGCUAAAGGUUACUGAUAUCAAAAAAAAUUGUGGAGUUCAGAGAUUAGUAACUGCUUGGAUUAAGGUAUCUAAAGAAACUCCAUCAUCAGUGUUAUCUUACGCAAUUCCAUGGCAUUUCCUUGGAACGCUCAGCUGCAUUCCUUGGAACACUCAGCUGCAUUCAAAGGAAGCCACUUAUACAGAAUUCAGGUUCAUAGACCUCCAAAAAAGGAAUGGAUCAGGUAUAUUAAAGUGAAAAAAACAUCUCUUGCAGAAUGCGACAAAUUCAACAAGCUUUUCUAGCACCAGAGCCGCACUGAAAAUCAACUCAUCAUUCACCCAAAGAUGCUGAAGUAAGUGCAUCUGUGUUUUUGUUGAAAAACUAUUUCGGAGGAAGUAUGGCUGUUUUUUGGACAAGUGAAACAAUUUAGAGAUAAGAUAAGAGCAAUACGUUAUUCAUUAUUUGAGGGAUAAAUCAAUGGUCGCCUAAUAAAAUUCGUAAAGAUUACUUUAGUUAAACAUUCUAAGAAAGGAGACAUCAAUGGUAAAUUUCGGUUAGCAUUCAACUCAUUUCUUCGUUAUUUUUCUUAAUUCAGUUUUCUCUCGCAGUUCUAAUUAUUCUUAUUGCUUAUUAUUUUUGUAGGCAGAACCAUGGUUUUUUCUCCGUUUGGUGUAAUGUGUUGCAUCUUUUGCUCUGGCUGAUUCAGUUGAUUUUUUUUUUUUUUUUGCUUUUUGCAUUAACUGCUUACUGCGUAGAAUAGGCUUUCAUUGUUGUUGCCUUUCAUCGGGAGUUGCUUUUGCUUCUCAAAACCACCGUUACUCCAUAGGUUUAUAGAGGGAACGGAAAGUCACACGUGAUGAGUGAUUGCGGGUUUGAGAUGCGAUCAGGUUCAGUUGCGGUCGGGGAUUCUAGGUAUAUAUUUUUAUCUGGGUUGUCUUAUCCUGGCUACUACUGCUAACCAUGUUCUCUUUAACUUCUUGGUUAUUGGGGUAUAGCAGAAGCUGCCAGGGCGGGACAACUUAGUGGACAUCACAUGAAAAACUAAGGAGUGAUUCGAGCUGUUGCAUUUUUUUUCUCUGCUGUUUGUAGUUAACUCACGAGGGAAAACAAUCUUCACCCAAGUUGUGUCAUACCAUUGUAAGGUAUUUAUACAAUCCAAAGAAAGAUCCAAUUGGCAACAAAGUAACGUAAGUGUUGGUUUAACUACGGAGGGAGAGGAAUAACUUCAAAGGAAGAGGAAUGUAAAUACAGAAAAAGUAUUGUUGCAUUCAACCAUGUUGUCUCGAGUUUCUAUCUUUAGCAGAAUCGGUGAAGAGUUCGACAGAUUCUGAGCUCUAUUUAAUUAGCAGAAUCAGUGAAGAGUUUGACAUAUUCUGAGCUCUAUUUAAGUGGGAAUUAUAGGAUUGCUAAAGUCAGUGCACAAAUGAUCAUUGCCUUCUUGGUAGAUAAGAUUUUUAGUGGUCUCUUAAGGAGUCUGGUAAAUCCAAGAAUUUCUGAUGAACAUUUCUCUGUUCCGAGGCUCCAACCACCUUUAUAACUCUUAUGUACUCGCUCAAGUGAAAUGUACUCAGACCGACUAUUGCUCAAAAUCAUUCGAUUCGUUUUUGGAUUUAAUCCUUGAAAUAGACUGGCAACUAAUCCAAGAAUUUCUGUUGCACAUUUCUUUGUUCUGCGCUCAAGUGAAUGUAAGCUUUUUAUUCAAAAGAAUAAACAACAAAAUUUUGUUCUCUUGAUGGUUUUGGAUUCUUUAGAUCAAAGAAUGAAAAACCACGUAUUGAUUUUUUGGUCAUUUGGCAGUGUAAAGGAUACUGCGAUGAUGUGAUGAUUGAUUUAUACAGGCUGCAAAAGCACAAGUCACGGGAAGGCCACCACACCUUUCUGUGAACUGAAGGUAGAAGGCAAAUAAGUUAACUAAGGGCGAAUAAGAUGAAUCUAGCCAUGCUUGCGAACUGGUGUUGGAGGUUUGGCCAGGAGAAGAACAGGCUGUGGUAUAGAAUUAUAGUUGAUAAAUACGGUGAUAAUUUCUCAAUCUGGAUUCCAAAUCAAGUCAAAUCUGCACACGGUGUCUCCUGUUGGAAAACAAUAGCAACUACAGCCUAUUUGGUGAGUACGAAUUCAAGAUUAAUUAUCCAUUCUGGUGCAACGAUGUCCUUCUGGAAUGAUAUCUGGAGGGGAAAUUCUUCUAUUUCUUCAUCUUUUCCAGCUCUGUACAAAAUCUCUACAAAUAGAGACGCAAAGAUGGUUGAAAUGAUCUCUAUGGAUGGAAGCUGGAUGUUCAGUUUUAAACGUAAUCUCUCGGGUUCAGAAGCUAACUCUUUUGCAGAAUUGUUGAUGAUGAUUGGAAACAACCCACCAGCUCUUGAUGACCUUCCAGACACAAGGCGUUGGUCUUUGCGCAACUCGGGAAUUUUCACAGUCAAAUCUCUCUAUUCUAAACUCAUUGCAGACUAUGGUGUUCAUGAUUUUCCCCAUAACUUUGUAUGGAAGAAACUUAUACCUCCUAAAAUCAACUUCCUAGUGUGGUGUUUAAUCCAUGAGAAGCUAAACACCAUUGACAUGAUGCAAAUAAAGGGUAUUGACAUUUAUAAUUCCUGCGUUCUGUGCGGUGAUGACAUUGAAUCAGGAUCACAUCUUCCUGCACUGCAAAAUAGCUCAUAGAGUUUGGUCUUCGGUGUUACCAAAAGAGGGUAUUUUUUGGAAAUAAAUAUUUUUGGAAAUUUCGGCUCGAAAAGUUGCCCGGGGCACCCUUGGAGGACACGUGUUAUUCGGACUCUCACCUUUGGUCAAGGGGCACCUCAAUUACUAAGGGGCACCUUCUUUGCUAUUCGCACCCCAGCUGUUGGAUAAGGGGCAACCCUUUCUUCUUCGUUUAAAUUUGUUUUGGCGGGAAAUUUUCAUUCUCAAAUUGUGGAUUUUUCGACCGGAAUUUGGAGGGGUUAGAGGUUAACUCAAUCGCUGAAACUUCAUGGGUAGACGUGAUAUGACAAUAGAAAGCUGGUAUGGGUGUUCGUUUGAAUCAGAAUUGGCUCAAUCGUGUCAUGGAGUGAAACAGAGCAACACGUAUCCGAGAGAAGUAUUUCACGGAUUUUCCCAAGCUUUGUUGUUCUUUGCGUGUGCUUAGAAGGAUCCAGCCACCAGUUAGGCAGUGUCAGAGAUAAACAAGGAGAGUUUUGCAGCUCUAUACGCGUGGAGAAUCAAAUCAGGGAAGAAAUAUUCCCGAAUCUUGCAUGGAUAUAUUCUUGAUUAACUGCCGGAUAUAUUGGAGUUAUGAGGAGUAAUCCGGGGUCCUGUCGAGUAUAUAUAGAGUCUCGGGGAACCACAGAGAGGGGAUGGAGAGUUAGGGGAAGAAAAGAGAGGAGUUUGAUCGAG